rnacentral:lncRNA from 1 species
GGAGGCCGGGGAGCGCGGGCAGGAGCUGGGGGCGCACCACGUUCUCGGCGGGCUCCGCGCGCCGCUGGUAACCCUACACCCAGGGCUCGCCUUUCGGGGUGGAAGCUGAGGAAUGCCUUUUGUGUGGACAAGUUUUCCAGAGGAGCCGGCCGCCCUCUCUGUGGGGCCGUCCAUCGCUCCGUAGAGCCGUUUCCUCCGAGGUCAAGGUCGUUGGUUCCCGCUCUCCAGAGGCGUGAGGGAAACCCGGAGGGAACGCGCUCCGCGCAUCCCGUCUGCCGCGGUGCCGGAAUUGCCCGCCGCCGCCUUGGGUGGGGACCGGUUCUCAGGGUCCUGGGGGCUCUCGAGCAGAUCACUUUCCCCAGCGCGGGACGGGGGUCGCAACCAGGGGCAUUCCCUGCAGCCGCGGCCCAAACCGACGGAGCUUGCUUUCUCCUUCCACCCAGAGGGGGUGACCGAGCCUCACCUAUUUCCAAGCCUAUUUUUUCACAAAGACGGGAAGCAAUAAAAGUGGCCUCAGGAGAUUCCGGAAAUCUCUACAAAGAGAAAGUGCCCGUUCAUCUUUCCUUCAGCCGACUGGCUUCACUGUGAAGCAUGGGGUAGUUGUGCACCUCCAGAUGACAGGACAGACACAGCAACACAGCCAGGAAGGGUCAGCUGUGAUUACACUGACCCUGGGAUAAAAC